CCUGUGUCCUGAAGGGUUACUAAGUUCCUAUGAGAUCUGGCCUGUCUCAGUCCUACAAGACCUGGGGACUGGCUCUGAUGGGCCACACCAGGGCAGAGGUGGGAGUCUAUGGCAGGGAUAGAAGCCCACAGGGCUCCUGCCCUCUGUUUAUACUUAAUCCCUCUGAGCACUGAGCCAGGUCAGGGGUGAUGGCAAACGGAAGAGCUCUAAAACCAGGUGUUCCCCCGGAGACAACGUGGCCACCAACCCCCCUCCCCGGUGACUCCCCAGGAGCCCACGACCGCCAGGUCCCAAGCCGUCAGCAAUGAUUCAGACGUCUGGGGACGCACGUGGACCUGUCUGUGGGGGGGCCUGCGGGGGAGGGGCACCGGCCUCCAGGCUGUCACUGGCAGCGCGGCUGCGGUGUGACAGGAGCUGCUGCAAGGGUGACUUGGCUCUCUGGACCUGGGGAGAAGGACAAAUGGGGGCGGGGGUCUUGCAGAGACCAUCCCCAAGCUUUCUGGCUGCCCAGAAGAGGCGGGGGGGGGGGGCAGCAGGCCCGUCCCCAGACACGGACACCUGAGAGAGUGGUGAGGGGGGCCUGAGGAACUGGGGUGCAGGGAGGAGGGUUGGCCCCUGCCCAGGAAUGGUGGGACAGGGGACAGUCAGGUGUGCAGAACCCCAUCAGGAGGGUUGGUCUCCUGGGGUGGGGGUGAACGACACUCCCAUCCCCCACCCCACACACAUCCAGAGCAGGAUUCAGACCCAGUAAGAUUCAAAGAUGAGGGAAAGGCAUCUGCCCCAAUUCCUACCCCUACAAGGACCCUAGUUUGUGGAGUUGGGGCAGGUACUGUCUCAGGCCUGGAGUAGAAAUGGGGGCACAGGAGGUUUGGUGUUGGGGGGCUGAAGGAGCCACAGCCGAAUGAGACUAGCCUGAGAAAGCAGACUUUGGUUCACAGCCCCAGGCUAGUAGGAUGAAGGGACUAAAGCCUCCCUCUCCCGGGCCACCGGAGUGCCCCUCUGGUCCUUGGACCCGGGCUAGCCACCCUACUCCUGUCGGGAUCUGUUCGGCCCCUGGUUCUCCCAGCCCCAGGCUCUUCGCCUCCUCUCUAGGGGAGCCAAGAAAGUUCUGGCUGCCUUCUCCCCAGCAAGUGCUGUGGGAGACCUUACACUCAAGACCUUACACCGGGCUUUUCAGGAACAUCCCUUUAUGGACUGUGAGGACACUGGAGCCCAAAGGCCUGUCAGAAUCUGGCUUCUGUUGCUCAAAACCUCCUGACUCAGGCAGUUUUCUUGAUCUUUCUGUGGCUCACUUUCUUCCAGUGUAAUGUGGGGAAGACACUAACUAGUAUCCACCUCAUAGUGUGGUGAGGACUGAAAUAAUAACAUAUAAGAGCUUUAGAAAAGUUUCUGCACUACUGUAAAGCUAAUUAAUAAUAGUAUUGUAUU